rnacentral:rRNA from 1 species
ACCCCUCGAGAGUGGCGAACGGGUGAGUAAUAUAUCGGAACGUGCCCAGUCGUGGGGGAUAACGUAGCGAAAGUUACGCUAAUACCGCAUACGAUCUACGGAUGAAAGCGGGGGACCGUAAGGCCUCGCGCGAUUGGAGCGGCCGAUAUCAGAUUAGGUAGUUGGUGGGGUAAAGGCUCACCAAGCCAACGAUCUGUAGCUGGUCUGAGAGGACGACCAGCCACACUGGAACUGAGACACGGUCCAGACUCCUACGGGAGGCAGCAGUGGGGAAUUUUGGACAAUGGACGCAAGUCUGAUCCAGCCAUUCCGCGUGCAGGAUGAAGGCCCUCGGGUUGUAAACUGCUUUUGUACGGAACGAAAAGGUCUCUCUUAAUACGAGGGGCUCAUGACGGUACCGUAAGAAUAAGCACCGGCUAACUACGUGCCAGCAGCCGCGGUAAUACGUGGGGUGCAAGCGUUAAUCGGAAUUACUGGGCGUAAAGCGUGCGCAGGCGGUUAUGUAAGACAGAGGUGAAAUCCCCGGGCUCAACCUGGGAACUGCCUUUGUGACUGCAUAGCUAGAGUACGGUAGAGGGGGAUGGAAUUCCGCGUGUAGCAGUGAAAUGCGUAGAUAUGCGGAGGAACACCGAUGGCGAAGGCAAUCCCCUGGACCUGUACUGACGCUCAUGCACGAAAGCGUGGGGAGCAAACAGGAUUA